rnacentral:rRNA from 1 species
UACGAAGGGGGCUAGCGUUGCUCGGAAUCACUGGGCGUAAAGGGUGCGUAGGCGGGUCUCUAAGUCAGGGGUGAAAUCCUGGAGCUCAACUCCAGAACUGCCUUUGAUACUGAAGAUCUUGAGUUCGGGAGAGGUGAGUGGAACUGCGAGUGUAGAGGUGAAAUUCGUAGAUAUUCGCAAGAACACCAGUGGCGAAGGCGGCUCACUGGCCCGAAACUGACGCUGAGGCACGAAAGCGUGGGGAGCAAACAGG